UACGGGGGGCGAGCGUUGUUCGGAAUUACUGGGCGUAAAGGGUUUGUAGGUGGCCUGCUAAGUCAGACGUGAAAUCCCUCAGCUUAACUGGGGAACUGCGUCUGAUACUGGAUGGCUUGAGUUUGGGAGAGGGAUGCGGAAUUCCAGGUGUAGCGGUGAAAUGCGUAGAUAUCUGGAGGAACACCGGUGGCGAAGGCGGCAUCCUGGACCAAUACUGACACUGAGGAGCGAAAGCCAGGGGAGCAAACGGG
rnacentral:rRNA from 1 species